UUGGAUGAUGACUCCUACGACAUGCAAAGGCAUUCCUCAAUCUUAAGUUAUCAUGUGGAAUCUGUCAUACAUUAAGUUUCAGCCUUGUCUGACU
rnacentral:snoRNA from 1 species